UACGUAGGGGGCGAGCGUUGUCCGAAGUUACUGGGCGUAAAGGGCGCGUAGGCGGCGCGGUAAGUCACUUGUGAAAUCUCUGAGCUUAACUCAGAACGGCCAAGUGAUACUGCAGUGCUAGAGUGUGGAAGGGGCAAUCGGAAUUCUUGGUGUAGCGGUGAAAUGCGUAGAUAUCAAGAGGAACACCUGAGGUGAAGACGGGUUGCUGGGCCAACACUGACGCUGAGGCGCGAAAGCCAGGGGAGCAAACGGG
rnacentral:rRNA from 1 species